UGUAAACAUCCUACACUCAGCUGUAACACUUGAGUCGGCUGGGAGGUGGAUGUUUACU
rnacentral:pre_miRNA from 1 species